rnacentral:rRNA from 1 species
ACACGACUACAUUAGAUACCCGCGUAGUCCUGGCCGUAAACGAUGUGGACUUGGUGUUGGAAUGGCUCCGAGCUGCUCCAGUGCCGAAGGGAAGCUGUUAAGUCCACCGCCUGGGAAGUACGGUCGCAAGGCUGAAACUUAAAGGAAUUGGCGGGGAGCACCACAACGGGUGGAGCCUGCGGUUUAAUUGGACUCAACGCCGGAAAUCUCACCGGAUAGGACAGACAUAUGAUAGUCGGGCUGAAGACUCUACUUGAUGAUCUG